GCCCUCUUAGCUCAGUUGGUAGAGCGCAUCACUCGUAUUCCUGAGUCCAUGAUGAGGUCAGUCGUUCGACUCGGCUAGCGGGCA